CAUAAUUGACCUCGGAUCAGGUAGGGAUACCCGCUGAACUUAGCAAUCAUAAGCGA
rnacentral:rRNA from 1 species